UACGGGGGGGGCAAGCGUUGUUCGGAAUUACUGGGCGUAAAGGGCGCGUAGGCGGCCUGAUAAGUAGGGGGUGAAAUCCUGCGGCUUAACCGCAGGGCUGCCUUCUAAACUGUCAGGCUGGAGCACAGUAGAGGCAGGUGGAAUUCCCGGUGUAGCGGUGGAAUGCGUAGAGAUCGGGAAGAACAUCAGUGGCGAAGGCGGCCUGCUGGGCUGUUGCUGACGCUGAGGCGCGACAGCGUGGGGAGCAAACAGG
rnacentral:rRNA from 1 species